AGCAGCCGCGGUAAUUCCAGCUCCAAUAGCGUAUAUUAAAGUUGUUGCAGUUAAAAAGCUCGUAGUUGAAUUUCGGGAUCAGUAUGUUGGUCGUGCUUCGGUACGUACUGUCAUUACUGGUUUCUACCUUCUGAAGAACCUUGAUGUCAUUAAUUUGGUGUCUUGGGGAAUCAGGACUGUUACUUUGAAAAAAUUAGAGUGUUUAAAGCAAGCAUACGCUUGAAUACAUUAGCAUGGAAUAAUGAAAUAGGACGUUUGAUUCUAUUUUGUUGGUUUCUAGGAUCGACGUAAUGAUUAAUAGGGAUAGUUGGGGGCAUUAGUAUUCAAUUGUCAGAGGUGAAAUUCUUGGAUUUAUUGAAGACUAACUACUGCGAAAGCAUUUGCCAAGGAUGUUUUCAUUAAUCAAGAACGAAAGUUAGGGGAUCGAAGACGAUCAGAUACCGUCGUAGUCUUAACCAUAAACUAUGCCGCCUAGGGAUCGGAUGAUGUUAUUUUUAAUGUACUCAUUCGG
rnacentral:rRNA from 1 species